UUUGGUAUAAGAUAAAAACAAGAGUAUCUGUUUAUUUCAGAUGAGGGUAAGUAUCAAGGAGCACGUCGUGUGUGAGUGCAUCCUUGAAGUUUUCUGUAGUACUGUUUUUGGUAAUUUCAGGGGUUAGUUUGUUCCAGUCUUUGAUGGUUUGACAGAAGAAAGAAAAUUUAUAGCUGUCUUUAUUGCAAUGAAUUUGUCUGUAGGAUUCUUUAUUGGUGGAUCUUGUAGUAGACUGACUCUGUUGUAAUACAUUUUGCGAUGGAAUGGCUAUCUUUUCAUUUACAAUUUUGUGGAACAUUAUAAGCCUUGUUCGUAGUCGGCGUUCUUGUAAUGUUUGCCAUUUCAUGGUAUCUAGCAUCUCAGACACACUGCUGGUGUUGUGAUGUCUAUUGCACACAUACCUUGCUGCCCGUCUUUGUACUUUUUCCAGUGAUUUUAUAUUUUCGUUUGUAAAUGGGUCCCAUACAGUACAACAGUAUUCCAACUUUGGUCUUAUGAGUGUUUGGUACGCUCUUUCUUUAAUUGUUUGCGAUUGGACUUUAAGGUUUCUUCUGAUGAAACCUAAGGAUUUAUUUGCUUUUGCAGCAGUUUGUUGGAUGUGGGUGUUCCAUUUUAGGUCUGCUGAGAUGGUGAUGCCUAAGUAUUUUGCAUGUUUUACAGAUUCUAAAAUGUGUCCAUACAUGUUAUAAUAAAAGUGGAUGGGAUUUCUUUUUGUUGUUAUAUUCAUGAUGUUACACUUGUCUGGAUGGAAAGACAUAAGCCAAUCUUUUUCCCAUUGUAUGGCAGCUUCUAGGUCUUCUUGAAGCUUGAGGCAGUCGUUUUGAGUUUUAAUUUGUCGGUAGAUUAUACUGUCAUCUGCAAAGAGUCUGAUUUUGCUAUGUUGGAUGUAAUCUGGGAGGUCAUUUAUAUAUAUUAAAAAUAGAAUUACAAGCUAUUGAGGAAAGAUUUACAAGACGGCUGUGCUUUAACUCGGAUCUUUUUAUUUAUUGAGAUU
rnacentral:lncRNA from 1 species